rnacentral:snoRNA from 1 species
AAACCAUGUGAUGAAUUCGAAUUUACAAUAUCUUAGGACGGUGAACUGAGAUUUCUUGAUACAAUGAUCCUCUUUUUCUGAUGAUU